rnacentral:lncRNA from 10 species
UCACCUUUCCUGUCCUGGAGAGUCUUCUCUCAGCCGAGGAGUCCUCUUUUGGGUAGAAGCUCUUGACUUUGUCUGCAUGAGGCCACCUUACUAAAGAACCAUACAUUCCUCCUGGGAUGAUAAAAGACUUUUUGUCUUUUCUGAGCCUGAGGGAUGCUGGAGCCAUGAACUAGAAGGAGCUCACCUCCCAGAAAACUUUGCAGAUCAGAGCUCAAAUUCUUGCCUUGGAUUGUGUACCUCCACAUUUUUAGGUGAGAAGACUAAGUAUAACCUAAUAAAUAAUUCUGGUGAAGAUAAAUCAAGAGGAACUUGGCUUGCCCUUCAUGAAAGAAGCUAAGUGGAUUUAAAUUAGUUUCCUGAGAGUGAGGGUUGUUAAACACAAAAUGAGUGGUUAAAAAAAUAGGAAAAACCUUUACUGACAAAUGCGUUCAGACAUUAUGAUAAUGUUUCAGGCAAAAGCUUGAAACCCUUCCUCCUACAACAGAGUAUAUGCAAUCAAGUAUUUUCAUGAAAAUUUUAGUAAGGCGUAUCUCAUUUUAGCCUAACGGAAUAGCUUUUAAAAAAAUAUCUACCAACUUAUUUCUUUUCCUAACUUUUGAUUCACUAUAUACUUUAAAAACAUUUAAAGUUAUGUUGACUAAAAAUUAAAGUAACAGAUCUUAGAUGUUAAAUUUGUAGAAACUAGUCUCCAAAUUAGUUUCAGGCACAGAUAAAAGUUACAUUUUGCCAUUAAAAUGUGGGUAUUAAAAUAACCAGUUGUCUUGUGAAUUAUGAAGGUUAAAAACUUUUGCAAGCUUCUGCCGCAACCACAGAGAUGCACAGAUAAACGAAGAGAGAACAAAGCCUUGCUUUAAAACCGUUGGAUUUAAAUUCUGGAUUGGAAUUAAUGACCACAUCAGGGAAUUGGGAUUGUUUCUUCAGAGAGGAAAUCUACAAUAAAGGCCAUCAUUUCUACAGUAUCCUCACUAAAAUUUCUAUAGCAAACAUGUGAAUUUGGGUGAUUAGACAAAAACUAAAUAUAUUGUACUUAAUAUUUACAAAUAUAUAAUGGAUAUUAAUAUUGUUAUAGACACCUUGUAAUGCAGGCAUUUGUAUAAUAUGGAAAUGGGAGAAAGCCUAAGUUUAAAAUAAGGAGAGCUAUUGGUACUAGGGAGAUAAGCGUGAUACUGUGACAAGAAGAAAGAAGAUAGAGAAGAAGGCUUAUUUCACUCAAAUAUUUUUGGAAUUUGGAACACGUGAACAUUUCUACACAGGCAAGGGACAUUUGCUUUUUAUUGUGUCUUACAUUUUUCUAUACAUAUUCUAAUUGAUGUGCCAUAAUGAGAACCCAGAUACUGAAUGAGACGACUUUCUAAUGAUACUGAAGGAUUCUUAUCCAACUAAAUUCAACAUUGAGUACACUGCUCAGACAAUGCAGAGUGAUAGGAAGAGGAGCCGUUCUCUCAGAAGCACUUCUCCAGGACCUCAGACUUCUCCAUAGGUGGGGCUGAUAACAAGGCUAUGUGUAUCAAUGUGACUAACUUUUGCAUAAUAGCAGUAGGGGAUUCUAAAAAGGCAAAAAAAGCCUUCUGAUUUUAUCUCAUAACAAACACUUCCAAAUCUUUUGUGAUGUCAUUUAUUUAAAGUAUGGAAAGAUUCCUUUAGGUAUAUAUGAUGCUUUAGGGAAUAAAUUACCCUUUUAAAAUCCAAUUCAUGACGCAAAUGUGUUGAACUGAAUGUUUUCUAAAAAUUUCAAAAGAAAAUGUAUUUUAGGUUCUGCUGUCAAUAAUCAGGUAGUAUGCAUAUUUUGUGUAGUUGAUAAUUCUUUUCUAUGGUGCUAUCUAAUCAUGCUAUGAUUCAUAGAUAAUUUAUAAUUCUUUAAGUAUAUGACUUCAUUUUUGGAAAAGAGAAAGAGAACUAAGUAAAUGUAUCUUCUUCAUUUACCUUUCAGGAAG